UACGUAGGGUGCGAGCGUUUAAUCGGAAUUACUGGGCGUAAAGCGUGCGCAGGCGGCUUCGCAAGUCAGACGUGAAAUCCCCGGGCUUAACCUGGGAAUGGCGUUUGAAACUACGGAGCUGGAGUGAUGGCAGAGGGGAGGAAGAUUCCACGUGUAGCGGUGAAAUGCGUAGAUAUGUGGAGGAAUACCGCAGAGUCGGA
rnacentral:rRNA from 1 species